UGUGAACAUACCUAUAACGUUGCCUCGGCGGGAACAGACGGCCCCGUAACACGGGCCGCCCCCGCCAGAGGACCCCCUAACUCUGUUUCUAUAAUGUUUCUUCUGAGUAAACAAGCAAAUAAAUUAAAACUUUCAACAACGGAUCUCUUGGCUCUGGCAUCGAUGAAGAACGCAGCGAAAUGCGAUAAGUAAUGUGAAUUGCAGAAUUCAGUGAAUCAUCGAAUCUUUGAACGCACAUUGCGCCCGCCAGUAUUCUGGCGGGCAUGCCUGUUCGAGCGUCAUUACAACCCUCAGGCCCCCGGGCCUGGCGUUGGGGAUCGGCGGAAGCCCCCUGCGGGCACAACGCCGUCCCCCAAAUACAGUGGCGGUCCCGCCGCAGCUUCCAUUGCGUAGUAGCUAACACCUCGCAACUGGAGAGCGGCGCGGCCACGCCGUAAAACACCCAACUUCUGAAUGUUGACCUCGAAUCAGGUAGGAAUACCCGCUGAACUUAAGCAUAUCAAUAAGCGGAGGAA
rnacentral:rRNA from 1 species